GACGAACGCUGGCGGCGUGCCUAACACAUGCAAGUCGAGCGGAGAUAAGCGGAUGGUAACUGAAGUUUGUCUUAGCGGCGGACGGGUGAGUAACACGUGGGCAACCUGCCUUGGAGUGGGGGAUAACACCGGGAAAUCGGUGCUAAUACCGCAUAACAUACACAUACUGCAUGGUGAGUGUAUCAAAGGAGCAAUCCGCUUUAAGAUGGGCCCGCGGCUGAUUAGCUAGUUGGUAAGGUAACGGCUUACCAAGGCGACGAUCAGUAGCCGACCUGAGAGGGUGACCGGCCACACUGGAACUGAGACACGGUCCAGACUCCUACGGGAGGCAGCAGUGGGGAAUAUUGCGCAAUGGGGGAAACCCUGACGCAGCAACGCCGCGUGGAGGAAGAAGGUCUUCGGAUUGUAAACUCCUGUCUUCUGGGACGAAGUAUGACGGUACCAGAGGAGGAAGCCACGGGCUAACUACGUGCCAGCAGCCGCGGUAAAACGUGCGUG
rnacentral:rRNA from 1 species